AGUGUUUGCAUUAAAAUCAGCAGCAGCAUCAGCAGCGUUAGCAACAGCAGCAGCGUUAAUGUCAACAUCAUCAUCAGCAUUUACAUGAACAACAGCGUUAAAUACAGUGAUCAUUAUCAACAUAUUCAGCAUCAGCAGAUUUAACAUCAUCAGCAUCAUCAAUAUAAUUAUUAACAUCAGCAAAUGUGAACAUCAUCAUUAACGUGAACAUCAUCAUCGUCUGCAGCAUUAUCAUGAAUAUCGUCAGCAUCAUUCAUAUCAACAUGAUCAUAAUCAGUAACUGCAUCAUAACAUUUACAGCAUCAUCAUUAUGAGCAAUAUCGUCAGCAGCAUCAGCAACGCCACCAUCAGCAUCAUCUACAUGAAAUAAUUAAACAUGAUAAACACCAUCAGAACAACAAAGUACAUAUAAAUAACUUAAUCAUCACGAUUUGCCAUCAACAACCGUAACUUCAGCGUCAUGGAGUUUGUCUACCUCGUCAUACUAUCUUCAUCAUAAUCAGCAUUAUAAAGUACAAUAUCAACUUAAUUAAACAUCAUUGUCACUAAUUAUGUAAGGAAGUGUAACAGAAAAUUAAUGCACAAUGCAGUUAGUUAUUCGGGGACUGCUGAUGGUUUGGCAUAUUGCACAAGGACUUGAUGCUUUUGUACGCGUUUCUGUGCGUGGUUUUAAACUUGCAAUGUUUUUGCUUGAACAUUUUUUGCUCUGUUACGAUGGGUCUACUCGUAAUUUCCAGAUUUGACAGAGGCAACGAUGCGUAGUCACGACUCUGUAUAUACAGUACAGGUGUGUACAUGUAUGUGCCGUAUGCGUGUUUGUGUAUUAAUCUCCUGCGACUGGCCUGCCGAUAUUGUUGAGAAAGCAAUCCGGAGCCAGAGACCAGUAAAGCGCCAUGCAGAGAUGACCUCCCAAACGAUUUAGCUUGCGAAGAGUGGCCACGGGGCUAUGGGCUGUAUCGGCUCACGGAGGAGCAUAGUGAAGGCAGAGGUCCUGCGCGAGUGGCCCCACAAGAGCAAUGGGCCAGGGAGCGGCGGAGGGAGCAGCGUCAGCGUCCCUGGGAGCACGGGGGUGCAGGGAGGCCUGGCGAGAGGGGACCUGGGGAGCUGCAGCUCGGAGGCGAGCGGGCCGAGCGCUCCCGCCCUCUCGGGCAACACCAGCGAGGCUUCCGUUGAGGACACCACGCAGAUCCUGCCCAGGGUUCGGAGGUCACGAACUCUUACCGGGAUAACAGCGUUGGCCAGGUCGUCCAUCACAGGUCUGUCGGAGAGCGUGCGUGCACGUGUCACCAAGCCCAUGGCGCGGGGCCGGGUGGCUCACCUCAUCGAGUGGAACGACUGGGACCACGGCCACGUCCAGUCCUACCACGAGUCGACGCUUUACACAGACGCCCCGUACUGCGACACCACCGACAUGGUCGAUGGGGAGAGAGAGGCUCGCUUUGCUGAGGGUGUGGCACAGCAGUUUGCCCUGAGUGAGGCCCGCCUCAGGGCCUGGUCGUCCGGGGAGGGAGAUGGUGAGGACGGGGACAUGGGGGAUGGGUCAGGGGAGUGGGUGCACAUCCCCUGUGUGCACACGCCCUUCCACACCAGCACGGACUGCGACCUGGAGCGCUUCCCGUCCUCCGUGUCGCUGUCCGAAGUGCUGCAGGCGCGUCUGCGCCGGCUGGCGGCGGCGCGCACACCACCGGUGCUCUCGCCGGAGAGCGUUCAAGGCGUGCUCUUCUCCCCCGACGGCGUCGCGCUCGAGACGCUCGAGACGCUCGUGUGCCGCGGCUUCGCCGACGGCUUCGCCUCCGUCGAGCGGCAGCGCUUGCCGGACCUCGCCCCGGGCCUCCUCGCCGCCCCCGAGUGUCUCCCCCUGCAGACGUUUGUCAGGAACGAGGACGGGCGCGCCGGCGUUCCCGCGGGGACGCUCCUGCCUUCGGGAGAGGAGGAGGAGCGGGAGGAGCGGGAGGACGAGGAGGGUGAAUUGGAGGGCGAGGAGGAAGAGGAGGAGGAGGAAGAGGAGGAUGACGGGCGGCAGCGUCAGCUCGGGGCGCCGUGGGGUUACCGAAAUUCGCCGGGUGCGGUGCUCUUGCCAGAUUUGAAGGCGGAGGUGGCGCCGACAUAGGGCGGUCGGGGUCACGCGGCGAUCACCUCUGGCCGCGCGCACGCGCGCAUGCGCAUGUACACACGCGCACGCACGUUCAGGCGUAGACUAGCGCGUGAUGCAUGUGUGCAAGCUGCAUGUACUGCAUGGGUGCGUGCGUGUGGGCGCGUUUGUUAAACGCUAAACACUUGCACCGAUGCGUGUGCACACGCACACGUGCACAGACACUCAUGCGCACGUGCACUACCUUCGUGCAACCCCCCCCCCCACACACACGCACGCGCGCGUCCGUGCACGCACGCGCGUACUGAGCAAGUGACCGGGAGGCUCGUGGUGCUCCGUGGCUCACCGGGCUCGCGUUGUUGUUUUGUUUUUGGUGGAUUUCGGGCAUCUCUACAUUCGAAUGAUGCGGAGAAAUUUGCUGUUUGCGGGCGCGUGCGCCAUCUGCUGUGAGGAGGGAGCGGCAAAAGGAAGUGAUUUCGCCGGAUGCCGUGUCACGGAUCGCCCUCCGCUCGGACGCGACUGCUGUCUCGGCUCGCGAAAACACGCACACACACACACAACCCCCAUCCAUCUUUGUGUCAGUCCGCCGCUGGACGAGGGCAAAUGCAGAGAAAAUAUCGCCGGUCUGGCGAAUACAGAGGAAGGAUCACCGGUUUGAAAUGAAGACUCCCUGGCCAUCCCUCCCCCUCCCCCCGUUGUACAAAUCAACAUUUUAAAGACGUUUCUCCUCUGCAUAUAACGGACUGAUUCCUGCUAUCUGACUUUGCGGUCUCUUCUUUGCCACAUUGUGGUUUUUGCACUUUGGGGACGAGGGUGAGAGGGGUCAUGCACACGCGUGAGACUCUCAAACGGCUCGCUGGGCUGCGAGGUGGCCACGGGAUGAAAGUAUUAUUAGCAAGUUGGUUCUUGAUUCCAUCCGUGUGGAAGCUUUUUGUGUUAUCCCCAUAUUUGUGUGGAUGUUCUCCGGGUUUCUCCGGUUUCCGUUCCGCACGAAGCAAUACGCUCAUGAAAUUUGGCUUAACAUGCCAACUGCAACGAGCCUCGUGAAAGAGCAUUGACGCCCUGUGCGGCUUUCAUGGCUCACGGGAAAUAUUUUAUCUCUCCCCAACCAAAAGCCUUCAAGUAAAAAACAUAAGUAAAUUACGUUCCUUUCCUGAUCAAACCUCUACUCUUGGAACCGCAUGCCCUCUCAGCCCAUCAUGCAUUGUCUUGACUUACACUGCAUAGACGUUUUUUUUAUGAACAUGACUUCUGUUGUACAGAUGAGUAAACUAACUAUUUUAACUAACUAACUGAACUAUACAGCUCUUUUUCAGAAGCAACCUGGCCACAAAUGAUAGCGCAAUGAAGUGGCUUAUCACGUGGCUAUUUUUAGCUGCCAAAAACUCAAACGCAUAUUUAUAAAUGUGGAGGAAAAAAACGGAGGAAAAUCCACUCAAUCACGGGAAGUACAUGCAAACUCCAGAUACACAAGCAUCAUGGGGGUCGGGAUCGAACCCGCGGCCUCGCUGUAUACCAGGCGAGGUAGUUUUUACAACUCGCCACCACUGACAAUCUCGCCCUCAUCACGCGCAAUAGCUGCAUAGGGAGGCGCGCGAUCGCCCGUUCAGUCUGCCGGGCGACGGCCGCUGUGAUUCACGCGUGCGUGUUCAAUUAAACGGGCAUCGUUUUCCAGCAGGCAACAUACAAGCUUCCCGCUGUACGGGGCAGUACGGUACAGCAAGCAGAAUCAACCUGUGUAACGGAGUUUGGUUGUUUUCUCCUCGUAUGCGUAGAGUUUUAUUUUCUGGUUAUUCCAGAUUCCCUCCGCUUGCAAAAAAAAAAAACCCACGAUAUGUUACUUUUACAAUAUUUGGCCGAGCAUCGCAAAAGAGGUCCCAAUAUAGAGAGAGAGAGACUCGUGAGCCUCAGUGAGGCUCUUUUCUGGGUGCCGCUUGAGUUUGGGGUCCGUUUCUCACGUGAGACCGAGGCCAAAUGUGAGGCCGGCAAACUGUAGAAAGGGUGUGUCAGAGAAGUUCGUUUUUCGUUUUUCGGCCGAGUCUUUAUGACACAGAGACCAGGCGGAGCGACGUUGCCGUGAUGCAUCCUCAGGGAGUUGAGUCAUCGCCAAGGGCUCUCUCUGCCGGCUGGCCACGUUGCUGGCAGGCCGCGUUGCUGGGUGGGCCACGAUCGUUUACAAAGGCCAUACGUGGCCAAACCUGAAGGUGUGGACAAGGCGCCACACGCGAGAGUUGCAGUGAAAUGGGUUGUCAUGGGCCCGGGGCAGAUGUCUGGCGUGUCGGCACCACUCGAGGUGCCAAAACUGAAACGUUAGCUCACCGUACCAGUCAUCGGGGUCAUUUGAACAUGCUUCAUCACGCCGGUUAGAUAUCACUCUGCACUGAUGUUCGUCGUGGCCCUGAGCCGAUUUCCAGUCAUCGAGGUCAUGUCACAAAACACCACGCCACUGCUCCACCCAUGCACAACUGUAAUGGUAGCAAUUUAUUUCGUCAAAUAAUUGGGUUAGAUCAUAAUUCAUUUCAACUCACCCAUGUUUCGAGUGGCUCAGGGCUCAGAACUCGAAGUGGACACUCCUGGGAUCCUUGAUUCAAAUCCAUGAUUCGUCCACCCACGUUUAAACCGGGUUCUUAGGUGGAGUAAAUCGAUGGUCUCAGUCCAGUCACCAAUGGCUGCACACAAAAAAACCACCCAUGAUAUAAAAUUAUUAUUUGUUACUUAAUUUGGCUGAAAUCCAGGUCUGAGAAUAAAAAAAACAUUGGUUUGAAUGUCGUUUGAUAAUUAUACAAGGGCAUGUGGAAUCCCUGCACUGUGUGUGCAUUAACGACCGCAUGAAAGGAUCUCCGAUGUAGUGCUGUGAAAUCUGCUUCCACAGGCCAUUCUUUACCACGUGGGGUGAUGCAUUGCUUUGCGAGAGUUUCCCAUCGCUAUGAUUAUUUCUCAUGACACGAUGCCAAUUGCACAAGUGGAAUUGAAUUUGUUGGUGAGGUGGAUGGGAAAGACCAAAACAAAGUCAAGGAUUCUAGAUUUGAAGCUUUCGUGACUGCAAGGAUUCAUACUCUUUGUUUUUUUCGGUAAAGUCACUUAGGUUAAAAGAAAACACAUAAAUUAAAUCACGACGUUUCGGAGGCAACACAAGCUUCCGUCUUCAGGUGAAACCGUCACAGCAAAAUUGCUGUUUCAAGUGUUGCCUCCGAAACGUCGUGAUUAAAUGUAUUUGUUUUCUUUUAACCUACGUGACUUUUUCGAUUUAAAGCUUUCGUGACUGCAGGGAUUCAUCUUCUUGGUUCUUUCGCUAAAGUCACGUAGGUUACGUGACUUUACCGAAAAAACCAAAGAGAAAGUCAAGGAUAUUCUCAACCACUAAGAGUUUUGCACCUCGGCCGACACUGACUUCUGCUUUAGCCCACGGACUGAAGCAGGUGGCUGCAGUAGCGGCAGCGGCGGUGGUGGUGGUGGCGGUGGUGGUGAUGGUGGUGGUGGCUUCGCAGCGGAUUCCCUGCGACGCUUCCCGUGCGGUGACCGUGAAGAAAGUCGCCGCAUGAGACACGGGGAACGCGCGCCGCGUUUAAAACCCCGCCGCCUCUUGCCUUUCUCAUGAUUUUUGAUUCUCUUAAGUGACGCGCUCUAUCCUUUGAAUUGUCUUCGGUGCACGUUGCCCGCUAAUGUUCAGUGGCUUGAUAUGCAUCGGCUUAAAGUUGUUUGCGUUGGCGCGAUUUCAUCGUUUAUUUCCACGGAAGCGUGCUGUACUUUUUCGACGGUGUCCGUGCUUCGGUGAAGAGACGCCGACGUCAUGGCUCAUGGGACACUGCAUGGGCCACGCUUUCAGCGACGAGGCAUCGCGCGCUUUGAUGAUUUCCUUACGAGCCAAGAACUGUUCUGAAGAGGGUGGCCUCCCUCGGCUCAGUUUUGGGAACGUUCAGCUUCAAGAUUCAAUCCGGAGGAAGGGCCCCCUCCCAGAAGGGCACAGCCUUUUUUUCACUUCAUCAUCCUCAUGAUUUUCCUCUCCGAGCCCCCUCCCCGUUAUUCCGUGCCCUCUACACGUUUCUGCACGGAGCGGGGAGACGGCAUGGACAGCCAGAGGGUUUGACCCAUUCGCAACAAUCCGUCACUAAACACCGGCUGCUGCUGCUGCUACUGCUGCCAUCGUCGUCGUGAAAUCGCACGAUCGCCGUCGGGGUUUUCUUCUUUAACGCGUCGUCGUUAAGCCAACCCGACUUCACGUUGAUACGACUCUUGCCUGUUCUCAGUGAAGAGCGUACCUACGAUGACGACGAUGGUGUUGGCGGUCGGUCGGCGAGCUUACUAAAAGGCUGUUUAAUGCCCCAGCCAUAUUAAACGGAGGUCGUGGCGCUGUGAGUUUGGGUGCGGGUUUGUAGGACCUGGGUGGGGGGAGGUCCAGGGUGCGUGUGCACACCCUGGUUUGUCCAGGUCUGCAGCCACUCAUCGGUAUGUACAGAAAGUUACGUUUUAUUUGGGCAAAUCUGU